GCGAGAAACUCAGGAUACAGAUUUAAAAUAAAUAAAUAAAUAACUAGCCAACAUCGUCUCGACUAGAGCAGGAACCCCCCACCCCCAGUUGAGGGAGGAGCACUUAGCAAGGGGCUGUAGCUCUAGCAGAAGACGCUCUGAAAAAGGCCAGGCCUGGGGCGGGGAGGCACCGAGAAACCCCCGGGUUCCAAACAGAGCAGGUGCAGGGGGCGUGCAGGAACAGGAUGAGGAAGCAUGAGUUAUCUCUAAGAUAAGAUCAUAAAAAGAGAAGAAAGACAAGUUAGAAUUAAGAGUUAAAGUAUGGGGCAAGAGCACCAGUAGAAUCAAGAGUCCAGAUAAGAGGAUUCUCUUUGCUAGGAGAAUAGCUACUUAAUCUUCAAAGUCAGAAGCAAAAGAAGAGCCAGAGAGUACCCAAGUGGGAGAUUUUGAAAGAGUGAAGAGGAAAGCUGAGAGCUUCAAUCUAAUGGCUACCCUCAGCUACAUGUGGACACAGAAUGGGAAGUGCUGAGCUCUCAGAAAGUCAAAGGAAAGAGGAGAGUGCUGAGCUCUGGGAAAGGAGAUGAAAAGGCAGAAGGAGACAGUACUUCUUCACUUUGCUCAGGUGAAGAGAAUGUUGAAUACAGAAAUGAAUCUCCAAGUCCUUCAAGGAAAAUCCUGGUACCAAAAGUAACAAAAGAAAUACUUUCUGUUAUAUCUUAUGGCUCCAAAACACUUUAUAGAAUUAACUUUUGUUGGUUUACAAAUAUACUAUAAUAAUUCAACAUACCUGCUUUGAGUUCAUUGUACCUACACCUAAUAAAUGGGAAAAUUUAGGCCACCUGGAAUUUCACCUUUUGACACAUCGUGGGAAGCCUCAGCCUUAGGUGAUAAAAAACAUGGUUCACAUGGAUGCAACAGCAAAUAGAGAUGCGUGAGAAAAUCCCAUAGGCAAUACGGGCUCAAAGUGUGGUGAUGAAUGGCCUGAGGCAAGCAAACACUAUCAAAGAAUUCAGUGGAAUCAAUGGUAAAAGAUUGACCAACUACUUAGAAGACACUGACCACAUGUGGGAUUUAUUAACUACCUAUGCUGCUUCAGGUAGCAAGACCUACCAAACUCACACAUAUCUACAUAUUCUUUGUCAAGGAGUAAGUUGCACUACAACUGCAUUACAAAAACAAAAAAGUCACUUCCAAAUUCAUAUCUGCUCUAGCAGGCAACCUUCUUACUAACUCCUCUGUCUUCUUUCCCACUUUUUGCUGUUUGGGAAGAACCUGGAGAUAAAACUCUACAAAACCACAUAGGCAAAUAACGACAUGGGGUCAACCUCAGGUUUAGAAAACCCUGCCCCCAGAAAUCAUCCCCAGGCCUGGAUUUGUGAAAGCCAGCAUUCUGAGAGACUCUUUCCUAAAACCAUCUGAUCACAGUUGUACUGUCAUUUAUUAAUUACCACGGGAACCACCAACUGUCAUCAUGAAAUCUUUUAUAGGCAUACUGUAAAUAUUAAAAGAGCAUAUUAAAGUUAUA
rnacentral:lncRNA from 10 species